rnacentral:rRNA from 1 species
AACUAAUUUAUACGGUGAAACUGCGAAUGGCUCAUUAAAUCAGUUAUAGUCUACUUGAUCGUACCAAUUUUUCUUACUUGGAUAACCGUAGGAAAUCUAGGGCUAAUACAUGCUAAAAACACUGACUAUCGGGGGGAAACUCUCGGUUCGGAAGGUGUGAAUUUAUUAGAUUAAAAAACCAAUGGUGGGGUUCGCUCCACCCUUUUUUCCCUAGACGAUUCAUGAUAACGCAUCGAAUCGCAGCUGUAGGCCGCGAUGUUACAUACGAAUUUCUGCCCUAUCAACUUUCGAUGGUUGGAUAGAGGCCAACCAUGGUAGUAACGGGUAACGGAGAAUUAGGG